GUCUUUUUCACAAUAAUCGGGUUUGCUAUUGUUGUUGGGAUUCAGUUUGUGAAGCACGACCACGAAGGUCACGACCAUUAGCCGAUCCGAUCAGAGAUUUAAAAGAUUGUCUCGUGAAUCCAGUGACCAAUUAUGACACUCUAUUUUUGCGUGCUUGUUUAAUCUAGUGUUACACAUUAUGAUUAUCGUUAUUUUGUCCUUUGUCAUAUUGUUAUCACAGUUCAUCAAUGAAUUACACGAAUAAAAAACAAUAUUGUUGGAUUGUUAUGCACUGAAGUGCAUCGAAUUCAUUUUAUGAUUUUUUUUUUGGAUUUUGCUGUGUCUUGUAGGUUAUUGGUUGAAUGAUUUUUAUGGAACAUUAACAAUAUGUUAGCACAACUUUACAAUAUGAAAUGUAUACAUGUGUGUGUGUGUGUAUAUAUAUAUAUAUAGAGAGAGAGAGAGAGAGAGAGAGAGAGAGAGAGAGAGAGAGAGAGAGAGAGAGAGAGAGACUUCAAGACAUUUUUUCAAUCAAAUCUGUAGUAAAAAGCAGCACAUAUAUAUUCACAUUUGAACACAAUAUGUUGUAUCUAUGCCCAUAAACAAAUCUCUAAACAGAACCUGGAGGAAAGC
rnacentral:misc_RNA from 1 species